GAGGGGCAGCGGGGAGGAAGCUUGCUUUCUCCGCCGGCGACCGGCGCACGGGUGGGUAACACGUAUGCAACCUGCCCCUGUCAGGGGGACAACCCGCCGAAAGGCGGGCUAAACCCGCGUACAUGCCACCGGGGCAUCCCGGAGGCAGGAAAGGCUUCGGCCGGACAGGGAUGGGCAUGCGGCGCAUUAGGCAGUAGGCGGGGUAACGGCCCACCUAACCGACGAUGCGUAGGGGUUCUGAGAGGAAGGUCCCCCACACUGGUACUGAGACACGGACCAGACUCCUACGGGAGGCAGCAGUGAGGAAUAUUGGUCAAUGGUCGGGAGACUGAACCAGCCAAGCCGCGUGAGGGAGGAAGGUACAGAGUAUCGUAAACCUCUUUUGUCAGGGAACAAAGGCGGGGACGUGUCCCCGGAUGAGUGUACCUGAAGAAAAAGCAUCGGCUAACUCCGUGCCAGCAGCCGCGGUAAUACGGAGGAUGCGAGCGUUAUCCGGAUUUAUUGGGUUUAAAGGGUGCGCAGGCGGUCUGUUAAGUCAGCGGUCAAAGCCCGGGGCUCAACCCCGGCCCGCCGUUGAAACUGGCAGUCUCGAGUUGGAGAGAAGUAUGCGGAAUGCGCGGUGUAGCGGUGAAAUGCAUAGAUAUCGCGAAGAACUCCGAUUGCGAAGGCAGCAUGCCGGCUCCACACUGACGCUGAGGCACGAAAGCGUGGGU
rnacentral:rRNA from 1 species